ACGUCGUGAGACAGUUCGGUCCCUAUCUGCCGUGGGCGUAAGAAGAUUGAGGAGAGUUGACCCUAGUACGAGAGGACCGGGUCGAACUAGCCACUGGUGUACCAGUUGUUCUGCCAAGAGCAUCGCUGGGUAGCUAAGCUAGGAUGAGAUAAGAGCUGAAAGCAUCUAAGCUCGAAGCCAACUCCAAGAUGAAUCUUCUUUUAAGAGCUCUAGUAGACUACUAGUUUGAUAGGCUGGGUGUGUAAUGGAUGAAAGUCCUUUAGCUGACCAGUACUAAUAGCUCGUUUGCUUAUCUUUAUAUAAGCAUCACUUC
rnacentral:rRNA from 1 species